AACGAACGCUGGCGGCAUGCCUAACACAUGCAAGUCGAACGAGACCCCUGACUUCGGUUGGCGGGUCUAGUGGCGCACGGGUGCGUAACGCGUGGGAAUCUGCCCUUGGGUUCGGAAUAACUCAGAGAAAUUUGAGCUAAUACCGGAUGAUGACGAAAGUCCAAAGAUUUAUCGCCCAGGGAUGAGCCCGCGUAAGAUUAGCUUGUUGGUGGGGUAAUGGCCUACCAAGGCGACGAUCUUUAGCUGGUCUGAGAGGAUGAUCAGCCACACUGGGACUGAGACACGGCCCAGACUCCUACGGGAGGCAGCAGUGGGGAAUAUUGGACAAUGGGCGCAAGCCUGAUCCAGCAAUGCCGCGUGAGUGAUGAAGGCCUUAGGGUUGUAAAGCUCUUUUACCAGGGAUGAUAAUGACAGUACCCGGAGAAUAAGCUCCGGCUAACUCCGUG
rnacentral:rRNA from 1 species